AAAAUUUUUUUUUUUUUUUUUUUUUUGGAAAGAAGAGAUCCAACCAGUCAAGAGUCAAGUUUAGAUACUGACACUGAAAAUAACCAAUUAAAAGUAGACACGCCUCUGAGAACACAGAGGGGUUAAAAGCAGAAUUCCCAAGAGAAUUAUCUCUCUCUGGUUCCGGUCAUGGCAAGGUACAGACCUCCUUCAGCAACUAUCAGUUCAAGAAUAAACAGAGAGAGCUAAAGAGAGUGUAAAGAUGCCCUCCGUCUUCAGAGAAAAAAAGCAAACUCUGUUCUUAGACCCUCGGCCCCAGGGGAAAAUGAGAGAGAUUAUAGUCCCGAAAUAAAACACUAGACUAUUGUUCCUAAUAGUCCUUAGCAAAGCAUCCUUAAAAGAGCCCUAUAAGCAAUAUCUAUCCCUGCACGGUAGUAAGAACACUGUAACAUAAAAAAGAGUGUGUCACACUAGCCAGUGUCUCUGAGCAGUGCCACAUAUAACAUGAAAACACAAGAGGUAGCAACUGUGUUUCCUAAGAGUCCAUAAUACAAGGGGGACUCCUCUCUUCCCCAAUAAACUCAGUAUUAAUUAUCUUAAAAGAUAAAAACUUAAU